UGUUUCCGGUGUCGGCGUCAAGCGUCUAAUAAUCCACACCGAAUUGUACACGUAGACACACCAUAUACAAUUACCUCCCUUAUUUUAUAUUUUGUCAUUUUUCAAAAAGCAGCAACAAAUGUCAAUUAUCCAGGAAAAGGGCUGUCAAACACACGGAGUAUUGCAUUUAAACUAUGCAGGAAUCAGUGAUCGUGAUUUUGAAGACUUUAAAGAUUUUAAAUCAGAGGAAACUGAGUUUAUUUACCUGAAAAGAAAUUUGUUAACAAAUGUUCCACCAGCAGUCCUUCAAUGCUCAGCAUUAAAACACAUAUAUAUUGAAGAUAAUGAAUUGGUGGAGCUUCCGCCUGAGAUAUGUCAGCUCCACAACCUGUGUGUGUUGAAUGUCACUGGAAACCAGCUGUCCUCUCUCCCUCAUACCAUUGGUCAGCUAAAGAAUCUCACCAAACUGCAAAUUGGCAACAACAGACUUACAUCCUUGCCAAAAACUUUAGGUAGACUAUCUCACCUGGUGACCCUGGAGGCCUCCCGGAAUGACCUACAGACAGUUCCCAGGGAGCUGUUGGGUUGUUCUUCACUGAAGCUACUGGCACUUGAUAAGAACAAGCUGACAUGGUUACCACGACAACUGUGCUGGCUGCCGAGUCUGCAGGAGCUUUCCCUUGCAGGAAAUUUUCUGCAAUAUCUUCCGCCCAUGUUGUUCAAGCAGCCGAGACUGAAGGAGCUAGUAUUGGAUGAAAACACAGCUCUUCAUUAUCUGCCUUACGGAACAGCUGUUUACGAAACAUUCUACUCCCCCUUACUUGAGGUCAGUGCCAACCACGUCCAUGGCAAUGAUGUUGUUUGUGGCCACAUGCAGGAGGUAGACCCAGGGAGGUCAUUUCUGGUCCCACCACCUGAGAUAACAGAUGUCCUUACCAGCACACACAGGGUCCCGAGGCUGGAGGAACUGACCAUGAGGACAGUUGCACGGCUAUUAAGACAUCAAGAAGAUGUGUACGUCCUUGGUCUGCCCAGGGAGGUGGCUGACCAUCUGGCAUUCCCGACAGACAUAUGCGCCCAGGAGCAGUUAGGAAACUCAUGCCAAAACUUUGUUUACAAGUCAGCAUUCCCCAUGGUUUUCAAGAGACAUCACAUACUGAGGGGCUUGUUAGCUUGCUCAUAUACAUGCUUUUUAGAAUGUUUGAAAAUAUGACAAUGUACAUGAAUUAAACAAGAAUUGUUAUACUUAUAAAAGAACCUGUGAUAUUCUUUUGUCUUAUUUGUGUAAUGUUCAUGGGCAGAUGAAAUUAACCCUUUGCAUGCUGGGUAAAUUGUUGUCUGCUCAAAAAUGUCGUCUGGUUCCAAGCUGUUUGCAAAGCCUUUAAAAUUGCCAUCAGCAGCCUAAGGGUUAAAUAGGGUUUAGAAUCUUACUUUUACAUUUUUUAUAGUUUUAUACUGACUUGAGUGUAUUAAAGGUCUUUAUAGCUAGAUGUCCUUCUUGACCAACUAGUUGGUACAUUUCAAAUGCAAAUGCAACUUCAGUCUCAAGAUGAUAAUUUUCCAGGCAUUACUCUGUUUUGGGUUGUAAACUGCAAUCCAAUAAAAACAUGGUAAGGAUAUUUAUCACAUAGAUUCUGAUUGUAAUUUCCAUGUGUCCUCGAGCACUCUCAAGGUCAAGGUUAACAACUAAGAUAUCUUAUUGAAACAGGGUCCUGGCCCCAAUAUCACGAAAAUACUUAAGUCAAGUCUCAAACUCAGUCUGAACUCAUUUCACCAUAUAGUAGCAUAAUAUUCUUCAAAAUCUUGCAUGCUUUACACUUUUUGAAAACGUAUUUUCUCAUAGAAUGUGUUGAUAUUAGAUUUUGUCAAUAUUUCAAAGAAAACUAAUUCUAGAGCAAAAAAGACUUGUGUAUUUUAUAAGAAAUACAGAAUUGUACUCAAAUACAUUUUUGGCUGUAGAAUAUAUUUACCUUGGAAUUCUACCAAAGGCUUUUAUCAGCAUAUUCUAUGAUAGAAUGUGCUUUUAAAACUGUAAAAAACAUUUAUGAUUUUUAAUAAAUUUUAAUGCUAUGUGAUAAAAAGAGUUGAGACUGAGUUUGAGAUUUGACUUAAGUAUUUUCGUGAUAUUGGGGCCAGGACUUUAUAUCCAGUGUAUGUCUGGUAUUGUUUAUCUGUAUAAUUAUGUUUUCUUAUUGCAUUUUUAUAUGUUAUACUUAUAUGUUAAAA